AACGUAGGACACAAGCGUUAUCCGGAGUUACUGGGCGUAAAGCGCGUGUAGGCGGCUUUGCAAGUCGGAUGUGAAAUCCCACGGCUCAACCGUGGAAGUGCAUCCGAAACUGCAUCGCUGGAGUCUCGGAGAGGAAGGUGGAAUUCCUAGUGUAGAGGUGAAAUUCGUAGAUAUUAGGAAGAACACCAGUGGCGAAGGCGGCUCACUGGCCCGGUACUGACGCUGAGGCGCGAAAGCGUGGGGAGCAAACAGG
rnacentral:rRNA from 1 species